AGUGAUUAGAGUUUGAUCCUGGCUCAGGAUGAACGCUAGCGGCAGGCUUAACACAUGCAAGUCGAGGGGUAUAGUUCUUCGGAACUAGAGACCGGCGCACGGGUGCGUAACGCGUAUGCAAUCUACCUUUUACAGAGGGAUAGCCCAGAGAAAUUUGGAUUAAUACCUCAUAGUAUCUUCGAUCCGCAUGGAUUGAUUAUUAAAGUCACAACGGUAAAAGAUGAGCAUGCGUCCCAUUAGCUAGUUGGUAAGGUAACGGCUUACCAAGGCAACGAUGGGUAGGGGUCCUGAGAGGGAGAUCCCCCACACUGGUACUGAGACACGGACCAGACUCCUACGGGUGACAGCAGUGAGGAAUAUUGGUCAAUGGGCGCAAGCCUGAACCAGCCAUGCCGCGUGCAGGAUGACGGUCCUAUGGAUUGCAAACUGCUUUUAUACGAGAAGAAACACUCCUUCGUGAAGGAGCUUGACGGUAUCGUAAGAAUAAGGAUCGGCUAACUCCGUGCCAGCAGCCGCGGUAAUACGGAGGAUCCAAGCGUUAUCCGGAAUCAUUGGGUUUAAAGGGUCCGUAGGCGGUUAGAUAAGUCAGUGGUGAAAGCCCAUCGCUCAACGGUGGAACGGCCAUUGAUACUGUUUAACUUGAAUUAUUAGGAAGUAACUAGAAUAUGUAGUGUAGCGGUGAAAUGCUUAGAGAUUACAUGGAAUACCAAUUGCGAAGGCAGGUUACUACUAAUGGAUUGACGCUGAUGGACGAAAGCGUGGGUAGCGAACAGGAUUAGAUACCCUGGUAGUCCACGCCGUAAACGAUGGAUACUAGCUGUUGGGCGCAAGUUCAGUGGCUAAGCGAAA
rnacentral:rRNA from 1 species